UUCAGAUUGCAGGCUGCAACUCGCCUGCAUGAAGUCGGAAUUGCUAGUAAUCGCAGAUCAGCAUGCUGCGGUGAAUACGUUCCCGGGCCUCGUACACACCGCCCGUCACACCAUGGGAGUCGGAAAUGCCCGAAGUCAGUGACCCAACCGUAAGGAGGGAGCUGCCGAAGGUGGAGCCGGUAACUGGGGUGAAGUCGUAACAAGGUAGC
rnacentral:rRNA from 1 species